UUCAACGCCGGAAAUCUUACCGGGACCGACAGCAAUAUGAAGGCCAGGCUGAAGACUUUGCCGGAUUAGCUGAGAGGUGGUGCAUGGCCGUCGUCAGUUCGUACUGUGAAGCAUCCUGUUAAGUCAGGCAACGAGCGAGACCCACGCCCACAGUUGCCAGCGUACUCUCUGGAGUGACGGGUACACUGUGGGACCGCCGCUGCUAAAGCGGAGGAAGGAAUGGGCAACGGUAGGUCAGUAUGCCCCGAAUAUCCCGGGCUACACGCGAGCUACAAUGGUUGGUACAAUGGGUAUCUACCCCGAAAGGGGACGGGAAUCUCCUAAAACCAAUCUUAGUUCGGAUUGAGGGCUGCAACUCGCCCUCAUGAAGCUGGAAUCCGUAGUAAUCGCGUUUCAACAGAACGCGGUGAAUACGUCCCUGCUCCUU
rnacentral:rRNA from 1 species